rnacentral:piRNA from 1 species
UAAAAUGAGGAGAUGCCAGUUCUC